CAGAAUUUUUUGGAUAACUCGGUUAAUCAUCCUAACCAAGAUCGAUUAUUGGAUUACAAAAAUUAUUUUUAUUCUGAGUUUUAUUCUCAGAUUCUAUCUGAAGGGUUUGCGAUCGUUGUGGAAAUCCCAUUCUCGCUACGGGAAUUAUUUUGUCCGAAAGAAAAAGAAAUACCAAAGUUUCAGAAUUUACGCUCUAUUCAUUCAAUAUUUCCCUUUUUUGAAGACAAAUUUUUGCAUUUGGAUUAUCUAUCACAUAUAGAAAUACCCUAUCCUAUCCAUUUGGAAAUCCUGGUUCAACUCCUUCAAUACCGUAUCCAAGAUGUUCCAUCUUUGCAUUUAUUGCGAUUCUUUCUCAACUACUAUUCGAAUUGGAAUAGUUUUAUUACUUCAAUGAAAUCCAUUUUUUUUCAAAAAGAAAAUAGAAGACUAUUUCGAUUCCUAUAUAACUCUUAUGUAUCAGAAUAUGAUUUUUUUUUGUUUCUUCGUAAACAAUCUUCUUGCUUACCAUUAGCAUCUUCUGGAACUUUUCUGGAACGAAUCCACUUUUCUAGGAAGAUGGAACAUUUUGGGAUAAUGUACCCUGGUUUUUCUCGGAAAACCCUAUGGUUCUUUAUGGAUCCUCUUAUGCAUUAUGUUCGAUAUCAAGGAAAGGCAAUUCUUGCAUCAAAAGGCACUUUUUUGAAGAAGAAAUGGAAAUGCUACCUUAUCAAUUUAUGGCAAUAUUAUUUCUGUUUUUGGACUCAGCCGCGAAGAAUCCAUAUAAACCAAUUAGCAAACUCUUGCUUCGAUUUUAUGGGG
rnacentral:rRNA from 1 species